UCGAUCCGUCUGGUUAAUUCCGUUAACGAACGAGACCUCGGCACUCCGAAUAGCGCGGCGGACGUCGCGGCCUCCGGGCCGUCUUCCGCACGAGCUUCUUAGAGGGACCGUCCCCCGCCGGAUAACCGUAGUAAUUCUAGGGCUAAUACGUGCGAAGCGCCCGAAGCCGCGAGGCGACGGGCGUUCUCGCCGGAUGUAGGAACCGACCCGGGGACCGCCGGGGCAACCCGGCGCCCCCGAGACGGGGCGAACCACGGUGAAAUGACGGAUCGUCGGCCCCGCGCCGGCGACUCGCCGAAUGAGUUUCUGACCUAUCAACUCGAGACGGCGGGGUAGAGGCCCGCCGCGGUAACGACGGGUAACGGGGAAUCAGGGUUCGAUUCCGGAGAGGGGAGCCCCGAGAAACGGCUACCACUUCCAAGGAAGGCAGCAGGCGCGCAACUUACCCUAAUCUCGAUUCGAGGAGGUAGUGACCAAGAAUACCGAUGCGGGACCCUACGGGGUGCCGCGUUCGGAAUGAGUACGAUUCGAACCACCUAACGAGGAACGAUCGGAGGGCAAGGUCUGGUGCCAGCAGCCGCGGUUAAUUCCAGCU
rnacentral:rRNA from 1 species